UGAUCUUUGCAGUUGACUUGUCAUUUUAUAAAAGUGACAAAGUAUUAUGGGAAUCAUCGUCCAACCUAUCUUGGUAAGAAAGAAAUAGGUGAAUUUCAAGGAUAAAAUAGAGUCCCUUGUGGAGGUUUGGAUGGAGUAAAGUUUAGUGUUGCUUGACGGGCCUCAAAUCACAAAGAGUUCCAUGCCUCUUUUUGUGUUUGCAUGGGCUAUACAUUCCGGGGUCUGCAGUGCAGGGCAGCCCAAUUCCACUUGUGCACUCUGUGCGUCCUGCUCAGAUUGCCAUUUACCAAGGAGCUUAGCUCCAAUUUUUGUGUCUAGUUCGGGGAGAUUUCUAUAACGAAGUUGAACUUUCUGACUUUUACAAGCCAAAAGGAUAAGGCAGUCUAAGGAUUUUUGGCUCACAAGUAAUUACCGUCGCUUGAUUAAGCCCCUUGGAGGCAGGAUUGGUGGAUGACUACAAGUGCUCUGUUGUCAAUGUUGUGCUGAAUUUCUGAGGUCGGACUGUGCUGUCGCAUGAAUUCUCAUCCAGUAUCCGUUUGUUGAAAUAGUUACAUGUAACAUUAUUCAAUAUUAGUUAGUUCAUUAUUGUCUGAGCCUAUUUUGGGCUUUGAGUAAACUGAAGUGUUGAACUGUAGUGCGGAGACAUACUUGUGUUGUUUUUCACAUGUCCUUGUGAUCGAGGUGGUGGUUGCCUUGGGCUGUUAUAAUAUGAGUUUUCGCUCAUUGGCUGAGGUACUCUAUCCGACUUUCUUCCCUGACGUGUGGAAGUUAUUUGUCGGUCAUGAUGUGGAUUUGAGCUGUGGUUGACGAGUCGAUGCUGUGAGAUGAAACGACACAACAACAGAUGGUGAUGUUUGUAAUAAACACUUAUGAGACAUGCAGAUCGAGGGAGAUGAUCUAGCGCAACAUUUUUUGGUGCAGUGUUACAAUAAAGGGUGAUGAUGAUCCCAUGUGGGUCGAUGAAGCUGAGUUCACAGUGCAAUUUCUGGAGUUUCAUAUUGAGGGCAAGGGUGUUUGGAAAGAGGGAGUUGUACACACCGGGCUUGCACCAGAAGAGUGUGCGCCUACCUCAGAAGAACACGUCUUGGAUUUUAGGAAACUAGAGCAGUAAUGCUCGUGCAUCUAUAACGUUUCAAUUGAACCCCACUUUUAUCUUCUUGUUUCCUCUCCACCCUGGUAGCUUCUUCUUCAUGCUGAUAGUGCACAAGAUUCUGAGCAAUUUAUACAAUCAA